rnacentral:rRNA from 1 species
GAUGAACGCUGGCGGCGUGCCUAAUACAUGCAAGUCGAGCGAACAGACGAGGAGCUUGCUCCUCUGACGUUAGCGGCGGACGGGUGAGUAACACGUGGAUAACCUACCUAUAAGACUGGGAUAACUUCGGGAAACCGGAGCUAAUACCGGAUAAUAUAUUGAACCGCAUGGUUCAAUAGUGAAAGACGGUUUUGCUGUCACUUAUAGACGGAUCCGCGCCGCAUUAGCUAGUUGGUAAGGUAACGGCUUACCAAGGCAACGAUGCGUAGCCGACCUGAGAGGGUGAUCGGCCACACUGGAACUGAGACACGGUCCAGACUCCUACGGGAGGCAGCAGUAGGGAAUCUUCCGCAAUGGGCGAAAGCCUGACGGAGCAACGCCGCGUGAGUGAUGAAGGUCUUCGGAUCGUAAAACUCUGUUAUUAGGAAAGAACAAAUGUGUAAGUAACUAUGCACGUCUUGACGGUACCUAAUCAGAAAGCCACGGCUAACUACGUG